rnacentral:rRNA from 1 species
AUUGUCUCAGUAAGGGCGACUGAAGCGACAUUAGCCCCCAUGUGAAUCAGCGGCUGAAUUGUGGUUGAUUGUGUAAUAGAUCAGGUCAAGUCCGUUGGAACGCGGCAGCUGAGAGGGUGAGACUCCCGUACGCCUUGUUUUCUUACUGAAUAUUAUGUGGAGUCGAGUUGUUUGGGAUUGCAGCUCCAAGUGGGUGGUAAAUUCCACCGAAGGCUAAAUACUGGUGGGAGACCGAUAGCGUACAAGUACCGUGAGGGAAAGAUGCAAAGACACGCGAAAGCGUUGUUAAAGAGUACCUGAACUUGCUGAAACGGAAGCGAAGGAAACCAGUGCCAGCCCUGUCAUACUUUCCGAUCCGCUUGCGGUUUGGACGCUGUGUCGGGUGUUGUUCCGUUUGGUUGUGCGUUGUGGCAACG